CUACGCCUAUGAAAUGACCGUUGCGAGUGCCCAGUGACGCACAACUUUCUAUCUUUCCGUUCAUAUCGAACUUAUCGUUAAUUGAUUUGAUAAGUAUUAAUUAAUUUAUAAUGUUGUCAAACAAUUUUCGAUAUGGGAAAAUAAAAUGGUUGCAAACCACUGCAUUGAGAACUUCCGUUACUCGUUUCUCCCCCUUUUAUUCUUCUUCCGUGGCCGCAGAAGUAUGUUUAGAAUUAUUUUGUUUAAUGCCAAAAGAAUCGAUCACCGCAAAACUUACCAGCAAACAAACAAACAAAGUACAUUGAUUUUUGUAAAAGUUAUCUUUUUGUACUACUACGUGAAAUGAUAAAUUGUUGAAUUAAAAAUUAAGAUGCUUGGAAGCUAUAUCACGGAAAUUAUCAUUUGACUUUGCAGAAAAAUAUUAUCACUGUUACAAUUAGUAUAAAACGAAAUCUGACACAUGUAAUUACGUAAGUAUUUUAUCUCUGUUUGCAAAUUUGAGAUGUAGAAAUGAAGCAGAUUUGUAGCGUUUAUCUGGUCAAUUCUAAACUGGAUUAUAUUUUAUAAUCCUACGAAAUAUGAAACUCGUCAUUAGUUUGCUUAAAAGAUUAGUCGACAUGAGAAAAUUUAAUCAAGUAAAUCUUGCAAUUGUAAAGUAUUUAUAUUAAAAGAAAUUUUUUUUGUUAUUUCUUUUAAAAAAUACUAAUAAUUAUCUAUACCUGUCGAUUAAAAAAUAAAUUAAAUUUAUGAAUUUUCAAGUUUUGAGCAAUA